UCUACGGGCGGCAGCAGUGGGGAAUAUUGGACAAUGGGCGAAAGCCUGAUCCAGCCAUGCCGCGUGUGUGAAGAAGGCCUUCGGGUUGUAAAGCACUUUCAGUGGGGAAGAAAGCCUUGGGGCUAAUACCCUCGAGGAAGGACAUCACCCACAGAAGAAGCACCGGCUAACUCCGUGCCAGCAGCCGCGGUAAUACGGAGGGUGCGAGCGUUAAUCGGAAUUACUGGGCGUAAAGCGCGCGUAGGCGGUCUGAUAAGCCGGUUGUGAAAGCCCCGGGCUCAACCUGGGAACGGCAUCCGGAACUGUCAGGCUAGAGUGCAGGAGAGGAAGGUAGAAUUCCCGGUGUAGCGGUGAAAUGCGUAGAGAUCGGGAGGAAUACCAGUGGCGAAGGCGGCCUUCUGGACUGACACUGACGCUGAGGUGCGAAAGCGUGGGUAGCAAACAGGAUUAGAUACCCCAGUAGUC
rnacentral:rRNA from 1 species